CCUACGGGUGGCAGCAGUCGAGAAUCAUUCACAAUGGGGGAAACCCUGAUGGUGCGACGCCGCGUGGGGGAAUGAAGGUCUUCGGAUUGUAAACCCCUGUCAUGUGGGAGCAAAUUAAAAUGAUCGUACCACAAUAUGAAGAGACUGCUAACUCUGUGCCAGCAGCCGCGGGAAUACAGAGGUCUCAAGCGGUGUUCGGAAGCACUGGGCGUAAAGCGUGCGUAGGCUGUUUCGUAAGUCGUGUGUGAAAGGCGCGGGCUCAACCCGCAGACGGCACAUGAUACUGCGAGACUAGAGUAAUGGAGGGGGGACCGGAAUUCUCGGUGUAGCAGUGAAAUGCGUAGAUAUCGAGAGGAACACUCGUGGCGAAGGCGGGUUCCUGGACAGUAACUGACGCUGAGGCACGAAGGCCAGGGGAGCGAAAGGGAUUAGAUACCCCAGUAGUC
rnacentral:rRNA from 1 species